GGCCGCGGGGCCGAGGGUUUGAACCGGGGGUCUGUCGUCCGCGGCGGGGCUGCGUCGGCUGCGGCGGGUGUGGGAGGUGGCGACGGCCGGGGCCGGGGUCCUGCCCGGCUGCGGAGGCGGGCGCGACGGGCGCGGGGGUCGCUGCUCCUGAGGCGAUGAUGGGCAAGGAGGAGGAGAUUGCGCGGAUCGCCCGGAGGCUGGACAAGAUGGUGACCAAGAAGAGCGCGGAGGGAGCCAUGGAUUUGCUGCGGGAGCUGAAGGCCAUGCCUAUCACGCUGCACCUGCUCCAGUCCACCCGAGUCGGGAUGUCUGUCAACGCCCUUCGGAAGCAGAGCUCGGAUGAGGAGGUCAUUGCACUGGCCAAGUCUCUCAUCAAGUCCUGGAAGAAGCUCCUGGAUGCUUCCGAUGCCAAAGCCAGGGAGCGGGGGAGGGGCAUGCCUCUGCCCACGUCCUCGAGGGAUGCCUCAGAGGCCCCGGAUCCCAGCCGCAAGAGGCCGGAGCUGCCCAGGGCACCGUCGACUCCGAGGAUCACCACAUUUCCCCCGGUGCCUGUCACCUGUGAUGCCGUGCGCAACAAGUGCCGCGAGAUGCUGACCGCUGCCCUGCAGACGGACCAUGACCACGUGGCCAUCGGUGCGGACUGCGAGCGCCUGUCGGCUCAGAUCGAGGAAUAUAUCCUUUGGGUAGGGGCUGUGGGCCUGGGUUUCUGGUGGAGUCAGGAGGCUGCCUGGCCUGGUGCCCUCUGGUGGCUGCUGGAUGCCACUGCCCAGCUGUCCAGGGGUCACCUGCCUGGGUGGUCACCUGCCUGGGUGGUCAGGCUGUCUCACCCCAGGAGGGCCCCCGGACCAGCUGAGGGGCUGAUUCUGUCUGCUUGUGGGGCCUAGGUCCCCUGGGGCUAUAGCCUGAAGCUGGGUCUCAGUCAGGAAUGGGCCUGGGGCAGGCUUGGCCCCGCAGCCCUUCACCUCUCCACCAGGUGUGGGUGGGCAGACCGACCCCUGUGUGGCUGGGCAGAACCUUUCCAGCCCCCACCCCAACAUGGCCCCCAGCGGGGCAGGUGGUA
rnacentral:sRNA from 1 species